UCUCCACAUCCUGCCUCGUGAUGCCCGAGUGAGACAAAUCAUAUUUUGUAGCGGAUUCACAAUAUUUUUUUCCCUUUAUAUAAUCUGGCUAUUUUUUACUCUUUUUAUAGUUCUAUGUGAGAAAUCGCUUUACAAGUAGAAGAAAAUAUUGCUAUGUUGAACCUGGCCCGAAGAGAUCCAGCUAAUCAUCCUGUGUUGAUUUCAUAUUGAAUCCUUUCACCGCGUUCACCGCCAUUCACCGCAUAAUAGAAUCUCCGUCACCGCAUGAGAUAAGCAGGUCACAACAAUCUACUAUUGUCUUUAAUUUCACAAGAAUUUCAGAUCGUCCCUGGUGGCUUAGUGCAUGGUAGGUCGUUUGGCCUAUCUCGAUAAACCUGUGAGUUCAAAUCACGUUGAACUCAUAUUUUGUAGCGGACUCACAAUAUUUUUUUCCCUUUAUAUAAUCUGGCUAUUUUUUACUCUUUUUAUAGUUCUAUGUGAGAAAUCGCUUUACAAGUAGAAGAAAAUAUUGCUAUGUUGAACCUGGCCCGAAGAGAUCCAGCUGAUCAUUCUGUGUUGAUUUCAUAUUGAAUCCUUUCACCGCGUUCACCGCCAUUCACCGCAUAAUAGAAUCUCCUUCACCGCAUGAGAUUAGCAGGUCACAACAAUCUACUAUUGUCUUUAAUUUCACAAGAAUUUCAGAUCGUCGCUGGUGGCUUAGUGGUAGGUCGUUUGGCCUAUCCCGAUAAACCUUUGAGUUCAAAUCCCGUUGAACUCAUACUUUGUAGCGGAAUCACAAUAUUUUUUCACGGCUUUAUUUAUUCUGGCUAUUUUUUAUUCUUUUUAUAGCUCUAUGUGAAAAAUCGCUUUGCAAGUAGAAGAAAAUAUUGCUAUGUUGAACCUGGCCGAAGAGAUCCAGCUAAUCAUUCUGUGUUGAUUUCAUAUUGAAUCCUUUCACCGCAUUCACCGCCAUUCACCGCAUAAUAGAAUCUCCUUCACCGCAUGAGAUAAGCUGGUCACAACAAUCUACUAUUGUCUUUAAUUUCACAAGGACGUCAGUUCGUCCACUGGUGGCUUAGUGGUAGGUCAUUCGGCCUGUCUCGAUUAACGUUUGGGUUCAAAUCCCGUUGAACUCAUAUUUUGUAGCGGACUCCCAAUAUUUUUUUCCUUUAUUCAUUCUGGAUAUUUUUUACUCUUUUUAUACUUCUAUGUAAGAAAUCGCUUUACAAGUAGUAUACAAUAUUGCUAUUUUGAACUUGGCCCGAAGAAAUCCAGUUAAUCAUUCUGUAUUGACUUCAUAUGGUUUUCUAUCCUCUGGUUUUCUAUCACCGCAUUCACCGCCAUUCACCGCAUGAGGUAAGCAGAUCACAACAAUCUACUAUUGUCUUUAAUUUCGCAAGAAUGUCAGAUCCUCCCUGGUAGCUUAGUGUUAGGUCGUUUGGCCUGUCUCGAUAAACAAUCAAAAAUCUAGUAUUGUUUUUAAUUUCACAAGAAUUUCAGUUCGUCAGUUCUCGAGUCAACUAAAUUUCGGACUGAUGGAAAAAUUUUUUUGUCAUACUGGACAUAGAUCGACCUAUAGGAAGAUUCAAAACACAUAUUGAUGCAGAUAGUUAUGGC